rnacentral:rRNA from 1 species
GACGAACGCUGGCGGCGUGCUUAACACAUGCAAGUCGAACGAUGAAGCCGGAGCUUGCUCUGGUGAAUUAGUGGCGAACGGGUGAGUAACACGUGAGUAACCUGCCCUUGACUCUGGGAUAACUGCUAGAAAUGGUAGCUAAUACCGGAUACGACCCUCGGAGGCAUCUCCAGGGGGUGGAAAGAAUUUCGGUCAAGGAUGGACUCGCGGCCUAUCAGCUAGUUGGUGAGGUAACGGCUCACCAAGGCGACGACGGGUAGCCGGCCUGAGAGGGGGACCGGCCACACGGGGACUGAGACACGUCCCAGAAUCCUACGGGAGGCAGCAGUGGGGAAUAUUGCGCAAUGGGCGUAAGCCUGAUGCAGCAACGCCGCGUGAGGGAUGACGGCCUUCGGGUUGUAAACCUCUUUUAGUAGGGAAGAAGCGAAAGUGACGGUACCUGCAGAAAAAGCACCGGCUAACUACGUGCCAGCCGCCGCAGUAA